rnacentral:rRNA from 1 species
AUUGAACGCUGGCGGCGUGCUUAACACAUGCAAGUCGAGCGGUAAGGCCCUUUCGGGGGUACACGAGCGGCGAACGGGUGAGUAACACGUGGGUGACCUGCCCCCUACUCUGGGAUAAGCCUGGGAAACUGGGUCUAAUACUGGAUAUGACCUCAUGUCGCAUGGUGUGGGGUGGAAAGUUUUUUCGGUGGGGGAUGGGCCCGCGGCCUAUCAGCUUGUUGGUGGGGUGAUGGCCUACCAAGGCGACGACGGGUAGCCGGCCUGAGAGGGCGACCGGCCACACUGGGACUGAGACACGGCCCAGACUCCUACGGGAGGCAGCAGUGGGGAAUAUUGCGCAAUGGGCGGAAGCCUGACGCAGCGACGCCGCGUGGGGGAUGACGGCCUUCGGGUUGUAAACCUCUUUCGGCCCCGACGAAGCGUGAGUGACGGUAGGGGUAGAAGAAGCACCGGCCAACUACGUGCCAGCCGCCGCCGUAACAC